ensembl:ncRNA M7.14 ncRNA
GAUUUUUGAAGACUAGAAAACAAAUUUUUAUGAAUGGCGGGUAAAAUGUGUAAUAAAACAAAAACUCGAUCAAUAUUUGAUGAUGUUGAUAAUCAUGAAGAUGAUGAUGACCGAUGGGUGGUCGUUAGUUGGAAAAAAAAGAGUGUGUGUCACAUACAAAAAGAACUGAUUCAUCUCGAGACAACGUCUUCUAGAUAUCUUCUUUCUUUCUUUUUCUUCAACUUCUACAGCAAAAACAAUCAUUUUCAUUUGCAGUUCCGUGUCAUC